rnacentral:tRNA from 1 species
GCCUGGAUAGCUCAGUCGGAAGAGCAUCAGACUUUUAACCAGAGGGUCCAGGAUUCAAGUCCCUGUUCAGGUA